rnacentral:rRNA from 1 species
AGGGUUUGAUCAUGGCUCAGGAUGAACGCUGGCGGCGUGCUUAACACAUGCAAGUCGAACGAACCUUCGGGUUAGUGGCGGACGGGUGAGUAACGCGUGAGAAUCUGCCCUCAGGAGGGGGAUAACGGUUGGAAACGACCGCUAAUACCCCAUAUGCCUACUGGUGAAAUGAAUUUCGCCUGAGGAUGAGCUCGCGUCUGAUUAGCUAGUUGGUGAGGUAAUGGCUCACCAAGGCUUCGAUCAGUAGCUGGUCUGAGAGGAUGAUCAGCCACACUGGGACUGAGACACGGCCCAGACUCCUACGGGAGGCAGCAGUGGGGAAUUUUCCGCAAUGGGCGCAAGCCUGACGGAGCAACGCCGCGUGAGGGACGAAGGCCUCUGGGCUGUAAACCUCUUUUCUCAAGGAAGAAGAUAUGACGGUACUUGAGGAAUAAGCCACGGCUAAUUCCGUGCCAGCAGCCGCGGUAAUACGGGAGUGGCAAGCGUUAUCCGGAAUUAUUGGGCGUAAAGCGUCCGCAGGCGGCUUUUCAAGUCUGCUGUUAAAGCGUGGAGCUUAACUCCAUCAUGGCAGUGGAAACUGAAAGGCUUGAGUAUGGUAGGGGCAGAGGGAAUUCCCGGUGUAGCGGUGAAAUGCGUAGAUAUCGGGAAGAACACCAGUGGCGAAGGCGCUCUGCUGGGCCAUUACUGACGCUCAUGGACGAAAGCCAGGGGAGCGAAAGGGAUUAGAUACCCCUGUAGUCCUGGCCGUAAACGAUGAACACUAGGUGUCGGGGGAAUCGACCCCUUCGGUGUCGUAGCUAACGCGUUAAGUGUUCCGCCUGGGGAGUACGCACGCAAGUGUGAAACUCAAAGGAAUUGACGGGGGCCCGCACAAGCGGUGGAGUAUGUGGUUUAAUUCGAUGCAACGCGAAGAACCUUACCAGGGUUUGACAUCCUGCGAACCUCUUAGAAAUUUGAGGGUGCCUUCGGGAAUGCAGUGACAGGUGGUGCAUGGCUGUCGUCAGCUCGUGUCGUGAGAUGUUGGGUUAAGUCCCGCAACGAGCGCAACCCACGUUUUUAGUUGCCAGCAUUUAGUUGGGCACUCUAGAAAGACCGCCGGUGAUAAACCGGAGGAAGGUGUGGAUGACGUCAAGUCAUCAUGCCCCUUACACCCUGGGCUACACACGUACUACAAUGCUACGGACAAAGGGCAGCAAACUCGCGAGAGCUAGCAAAUCCCAUAAACCGUGGCUCAGUUCAGAUCGUAGGCUGCAACUCGCCUACGUGAAGUAGGAAUCGCUAGUAAUCGCAGGUCAGCAUACUGCGGUGAAUACGUUCCCGGGCCUUGUACACACCGCCCGUCACACCAUGGAAGUUGGCCAUGCCCGAAGUCGUUACUCCAACCCUUGUGGAGGAGGACGCCGAAGGUGGGGCUAAUGACUGGGGUGAAGUCGUAACAAGGUAGCCGUA